CACCUUCGAGCCCCUCAAGAAGUAUUCGUGAGGGAGCUCGCUUACAUUCCUGCUUCAGUCUAUACCAACGAAUCUUAAACCCUCGGGCCUAUUCCUUCUCCUUCUCCGUCUCCAUUAUGUGGUUAGAACUCUGAGGGAGUUGGAGACAAGGCGAGAACAACAGAGAUUAUUUGCAGGAAUACCUCCCCUACUGCCUGGCGCUAAGUGGGCUCUACCUAGUGUUGUUAUGAACUGAGAGGUUGCAUCAGGGACAACGUGAGGGCUGCCGGGAAUAAAGAAGAGCUUCUAAGGUCUUCAGAGUGGACUGCAAUAACCAUGGAGAUGAGGUAAUUCAUGAAGCUAAAAGCAAGAGAAGGGGUGGGUUACGGACAAGCUGUGGUUAAGAAAUUUUGUUCUGCUCUCAUUUUUAUUCUUUCCAGUAGUUUCAUUAACUUCUCAGUCCCAACAGUGGUUGAAACUCUAAGGAUAUAACUCUCCUCAUUAAACAGAUGUAUGGAUUUCUAUAAAAGUACCCCAAGCCCACAAAAUAGAUGCCUAAUUCAUCUUAUCGAUGUCUGCAAACCCACCAUUAAAUACUAUUUUCAUUUAAAGCCUUCUGGCUCAUUAGAACAAAAAUGUUCCUAAAGAAACAUAUCAGGUAGCAUCCGUAAUUUCACAUUAGUAUAAAUUUGUAACUUGACCAAAUAGCUAAUAAUAGAUAAUGAUUCACUGACGGUUUAUUUUGUGCCUGGGGUUGUAUGACGUGUUUCAUGUGCAGUAUCUCACUGAAUCACUAACGAAAUCCUUUGGGUGGCAGUCACAGAGGUGGCUCUGUGAAAUCUAUGCUAAGUGAUUGUCUUGACCAUUUUAUGAGAUUCUCUAGUUCAUCCAUGUUGCUGCAAAUGGCAUUAUGUCAUUAUUUCUUAUGGCUGAAUAGUAUUCCAUUGUGUAUAUAUACCACAUCUUCUGAAUCCAAUCAUCUGUCGAUGGACAUUUGGGUUGUUUCCAUGUCCUGGCUAUUGUGAAUAGUGCUGCAAUGAACAUGCGGGUGCACGUGUCUCUUUUAAGUAGAGUUUUGUCCGGAUAGAUGCCCAAGAGUGGGAUUGCGGGGUCAUACGGAAGUUCUGAGCCAGAAAGACAAAGACAAAUACCAUAUGAUAUCACUUAUAACUGGAAUCUAAUAUCCAGCACAAACGCACACCUCCUCAGAAAAGAAAAACAUGGACUUGGAGAAGAGACUUGUGGCUGCCUGAUGGGAGGGGGAGGGAGUGGGAGGGAUCGGGAGCUUGGGCUUAUCAGACACAACUUGGAAUAGAUUUACAAGGAGAUCCUGCUGAAUAGCAUUGAGAACUUUGUCUAGAUACUCAUGUUGCAACAGAAGAAAGGGUGGGGGAAAAAUGUAAUUGUAAUGUAUACGUGUAAGGAUAACCUGACCCCCUUGCUGUACAGUGGGAAAAUUAAAAAAAAAUUAUAAAAAAAAUAAAUAAAUAAAAGAAAAAAAAAGGAUACACAAGAACGAGACAUUCUUUCCCAUUGUUGGGUAUGACAUCUGGGGUGAAUGCAACCACACUGCCACCAUGAAGUGACCAAGGGGAGAAGCAGAAAGCAGUUGAGCCCUGAAGGGUACUCUUGAGCCACUGGUCCCACUUCGCCUGAACUAAACUAUCUUCUGACUUCCACUUAAGUGAGACGGAUUUCGUGACUAGGCAUGUCGGUGUGACACGGGGUUUCCUGUUACUUUCGGCAGAGGUCAUUCCAACUGAAACACAAGGAGCUUAAUGUCACUGUCGUCCCCCUUCCACUGGUGAAGAAAGUCAUAAAGGUAAAAUAAGUUUCUGUAUCUCCCAUGAUAGGAGGCUAUGGAACUGAUUUGAACUAAACAAGCAGACUUCUAAAUUCAUACACAAACCACUAUGCCAUGCUUACAACAAUGUUAAAAAAGCAACCAUGCUUAUAACAAUGUUAAAAAAGCAAUAAUGUUAAGGGACACAGCAGCCUGAGAUUGAUCCCACAGGUAAAUGAGAGCAGUGUCAGGAGACAAGAGGGCUCUCUGAGCUCCUGAGGCUCUCCAGUGAUUCACAUGGGUGGUGCUCCCUGGAGAGCUCUGCCGAAGUGCUCCAACCAUCCGACUCAGCAGUCAGUCAUUGAACGCACUGGGCACUGUUUCCCGAGGCUUACUCUCUGCUUCGUAGCAGAGCAGAGAGCCAGUAGAGAACUGACUAUUAAAGAGGCAUUAUAAGAUAAAGGCUAUAAAGCUACUUUCCUUCAGGAACACAGCAAAGAGUAAAUAAUUCAACAGAGGAUGAAUCUCUUUAUCCCCUUGCCCCUUCCAGGGUGGUCAAGAACCUCUCUGUGCCACCUCCUUCUAUGUCAAUUAAUUCGGAUCUUUUAUUUCUUCUCCACAAUCCUUGUUCAAGCCAGUCAUCUCCAAGGAUGCGGAAUCCCGGCAUCUUAUCAAGGCUCCAGGAGAAGGAAUGGAGUGUAUCUCCUUCAAUCAACUGACGGGCUUGCCUAAUAUUCUCGGCUGUGAAACUGUAAGCAGACUGGAGCCGAAAGCACUAUCUUUACCAUAUAUAUUAAGCAAUCAUUUUAGCAAAAUCAAAAUGUUAAUCCUGGUAUUCAAGGUCGUCUUCUAUGUACAUGCAAAUAUCUUUCAAGGUCAUGACCUUGAUAUUAAGUGUUUAUCUAAAAAUGCCACAGAUCUGUCACUAAUUGUUUACUCAUGCGCAAAGCAGCCAAGCUGCCCACAGCUGCCAACUAGAGACCUGGCAGGAAGUGAAAUUAUCGGCACGUAGGAAAGACCCAACCAUAACAUCAGAAUUACAUAAAAUAGGGAAUUAUCUUAUUUUGGGAGAGCAAUGUCAGAACGUGGCUAACCAAUAAAAAUCUCUCUCACCCCAUUUAUGAUUAUUUUCUGUUAAUUCCCAGCAGACUAGAAAUACUCAUUUCCAAAACUACCCAAUUGGACAUAAAAGGAGAAAACAGCGUUUUUGAGAUGUCUGUUCCCCCUGAAAAAAGGUUUAAGUCAAACUGCUUUUAAAAAUGCUCCUCACUCUCCAUUUAGAAGCAUUGUUGCCUAAAGAUGAUGAUCUGGCCACAUUUUCGCCCUCAAAGCUAAGUCUACAGGCAACUUUUCUCAUAAACAGUCCCUAAGAAGCACUUCUUCCCACGUUAUAUGUCAAGGAACUUUUAAAAGAACUGUUCCAAGUGCGAACAUUUAGAAACACACAUGCCCAUGUCACAGGAAAGCCAUCAACACUCUUGCAGAGCUAUAGGCCUGCCCUCAAGGGACCCAGAACUAUUCCAUUAUAACAGAAAGUCUGUGGAAUGUAAAUCCAGGGCCCUGAAAUGCUGUAUAUUUUUCAAGAAGUACAAAGUGGAAGCCAUUGAUUCCAUGGACUCACCAAAUGAAUGGAUUGUUUCAUCUGCAUAAAUGAACUGUCAGAAACAAUGGCCACGUAACACAUUUGCUCCUGUUCCCCAAAGAGGAAAAACCCAUAUCCCCAAUAAAGCCAUAUCUUUUUAUGAAACUUAAGCAAAGAAGCAUGGGGAAAAGAAAGCUUGAUUUAUACUCUAAAAUCUAGAUGGCUGAAGUCAGACAUGCAGCAUGGGCCAGAAAUAUGCAGCUCAAUUCUUUCUGAAGACACAGAAGGCACUUUGCCUUCAAAACACAAAAGAGUGACUCUCUAUUCUACAUUCAUGGCUAUUUGACCAAAUGCACAAAAGCACUUCUCAUAUUAUGUAUAGUUUUACUUUCUAAUCACUCUUUUUCUUAAGUACUUUUCUCCAAAGUUUUUAUUCUUAACACUUUCACCCUCCACUUUUCUACAUGCCCUUGUUUUCAGAUGUGGUGUUUCAUUAUAAAAUAUUCAGAACCCUGAAAAGGUUACGAUGAAUAAUGUAAGAAAAGCCAUUUUGUCUCCACUUACCAUUACUAUCCAAUCUUAGAUUUGUGUAAGGUGUUCCAAAUUUAUCUUAAGCAAUUAUUCUUAAGUUGUCGUUUCUUAUCUACUGAUCUCCAGAAUUACCCCUCUCCCCUUUUGCUUAUGAUCUCUUCUUCCUGAAGUCACUAUUGUCUAAACUUUGGUAUUUAUUAUUAUUCUCCUUCAUAGACAUUGAUCUUCUUUACACAGGACUUUAAAACAGUAUGACACAGUACAAAACCUUAUGUAAUUUGUUUUAUUGUCUGGCUGUUUAUGCAAAACAUUCUUUUGCACAUCAAUACAUAUAUAUACAUAGAGACCCUGAAGCUAUUCAUUAUAAUGACUUAUAGUACCCACUGUAUAAAUACAGGAAAGUCUAAUCUAUUUUUGACGAACACUUUCUCUCCCUUCCCAUCACUGUUUUUCUUUCUUGUGCUCUGUGAUCACUUAAGACUCCCAUGGACUGGUUCCAGUGCCUUCUCCUUGAAGAGAUGUCUCUGUCAUCUUGGGCAGCACCAGAAGGCCAUGUGCACCUGUCGGCUCUGGCUAAUUACCUAUGUUUUGAUUUCCUUUCGGUUUCUUCACAUACUGUGUGUUACACAUGAGUAUUCUGCUAUUAUCUUUCUGCACUGCUCAUUUAAGCCCAGAGCUUUAAGACUAGCAAAAUCUUAAAAGCUACAGAGCCCAAUCUUCCUUUUAUAAACUAUGACAGUGCCAGGAGGAGGUGAGUGAUGUGCCCACAGUCAUGCAACGUCUUAGUGAAGAGAAGGGUUGAGGACCUGGAUCUUCUGGCUCCCGGUCCCUGUUCUUUUCACUACACCAAACUGCUGCUCACCCACUCAGCCAAACAAGAUUUCUCUGCUAUGAGUGGGUUCUCAACAAAUCUGUUAACAUCUUACAUCAGAGAAAACUAGGCAAUAUGGAAACAUCCCAAAAGGGUUCAUGUCCUCAGGGACAUUAAAGACAAAAGAAAACAUUAUAGGCAACUAUAUGACCCCAGAUAGGAUAAAAUUCCCAAUAGCAAAAGCAACAACUUCUCUAUCGGUACAUCUAUAUAAUUUUUAUGAACAUUUCAAAGUAUGUUGGAGACGGAGACAUCACAGCACUUUAUUAUUGUACGUUAUGUCACUGGGUUUUUCUGUAGAACAGGGUUAUUCUCUUCCAUGGCUACAAAACUACUAAAAUCCAUGAUAUUUUACAUUGAUAUAAUACUAACAGUCCAUAUUAAAAUUUUAUCAAUGUUCCCGAAAGUGUUCUUUGUAGCUUUUCUCCUACCCCAGUACCCAUCCACCUUAGGAUCACACAUAAAACUGUGUAACUUAUAAGGAAAACACUUUGCUCUG
rnacentral:lncRNA from 1 species